UGGCCGCUCGCACGAAGUUCGCGUUAACGUUUCAGAGCAUGCUAGGGGUUCCGUGUCUCGUUUGAUAAGAUAAACCUUUGUUGAUAAGUAAUGCCCUUAACAUUAACGCACCUACCGCUCAGACGUUUGCGCGAUGAUUGUUGCCUAUUUGUACCUUCUUUUGUUUUGUUUUGUGAAAUGGCGCACGACUCGGGAUAAAAGCCGUUUACCUUCGUCUCCUACCCACGGUUGAAAAGUGAUGGAAAUGUUCUACGUUUUGCUCAGUUCUUGUAACAAGCACCUAUUUCUAAUAUUUUUCACUGCUACUGUUGUCGGGUGCCUAGGACAUCACGUUGUCUUGUGUUUUGCUUCACCGCUAUGAAACGCGAUGUGUUGUCCACAUACGUCGUCGAUAUCUUUUCUAAAACGUGGAAUGUUUUCUCACGUGCUUUUUCAUUUUCAGGUCGGGCCCUGGAAGGUGCUUGAAAGUUUAAUGACACAUGAUUUAGGCGUCACUCUUUCAGCUUACACCCUACACAGGCACGCUAACCACAGUUGAGACGCACUUCAAUUCUGACGUUCAUUUAUGUUCAACGUCACUAUAUGAUAAUAUCUACGAUUUGCUGGGGUUGUUACGUAUACCUCAUAAUUGGUUGUACAAUGUGUAUGAAAUUGUUCAAGUAGCACGGUUUUCCCGUUCUAUAUACGCGGUUGCAGACAGUGGUGACGGAAGUGUGCGCAUGCUUUGAGUGUGCGUGGUUGUGGGGUGAGUGGAUUGGGGCGUAAGUGAGUUGGGGGAGUGCGAUGGAGAACAGACUACGAGAUAAGUUUCACUGCAAGGCAGCUGAGUAGCAUGAAGGGACCGCCACCAUCCCCCCCUUUGCUACCUUAUACCAAGCUUUAUUGCUAGUCUUGACACCCCGCGUUGAACUCCCGGCAUUCUUCUUUGAAAAAAAAAAAUAUUUUUACACGUACCAAGUAUAUAUAAAAUAUGCACGAACACCUUUUCAUGCUUAUAAGACCCAACCAACCUUGCUAAACAUGCAAAAAGAAACAAUAGUAUGGUGCCCCAUAUGGAUAACGGGAAACGUGCAACGUAACAUAUUCGCUGUACAAAAGACAGAAAUCAGUCAUGCAGUGCCCUGUGUAAAUUGCCGACGGUACUGUGUGUGAGUGAACCUGCAUAUCAAGCGAUAGGUGCUUUCUGGACCUUAAUAAUCUGAAUAUGCUUUCAAGAUAAGGCAGUACUUUUCCCUAACAAAGUCUGUGCUCAUGGGAACAAUAUAUUCCACCAGUACUUGUGCAUCAUGCACUCACUAUCAUGUACUAUUAUGUGCAAACGGCAGCAAUACCGUUUCAUUGAAUGUUACAUUGUUUGAGGAGACAGGUAAGGACACUCUACCCAGCUAAACUGCUGAUAGGCUUGAGCUCGAAUAACAUCUCCAGGGGUAAAGCCAAGAUAGCAUCAAGGGAGGAGGGUAGUUUCAUUGCAUGCUCAAUUUUGUCAGUGCAGAAGUAUUGGCAUGUCGAGGGGUUGAGGCUUCACUAGGCUUGGUAGUGAGGCAGAAAUGGCAUUUUGUGGUCGGUUUAUGCUACAUUUGGGCACAAUACUAGCCUGUUAUUCAAGCAUUACUCACAAUUUUGUGAUGUCUGGGAUUGUGCCAGAGCUUUGCCCCUCUAUCAUCAAAUGGCAACCCCAUUCCUUACACUGAAAAAAAAAAAAUUGCAGUUUUGAUACAGUAUUGCAGCACAAUGUGUACAUGUCUAGUUCGUGCUGGACAAAAUGGGCAAGUACUGCAUGCACAGGCUGUGGUGGUUCAUUGGUCAUGGCAUUUUGCUGCUGAGCACGAGGUCACAUGUUCAAUUCCAGUCCGUGUCUGUGCACUUAACUUUUUCCAAAAUGAACUUGAAUUUGGCUGUCUGUUAUGAACCUGGAGUUCCCCCGCUGACUAAAUAAUUUAAUACAGGGUAUUAAAACCAACCGCUACAUGCCGCCUGUGUACAUAGUUUAGGUGCAAACAAGCCAGUGGGCAAAUCAAAGAAACAUCAUUACCUGUAUCCCUGAGUAACAUGACGUUCGGCAUGUUGGCGAUACUUUGCAGCAUAAACAUUACUCUGACACAAUGAAUGCCUCUCAUCUAACCUGUGUUUUCUUACAUCAUAUGAAAACAAGUGGUGUGUCAUUCUUGUAGCUUAUAAAUGAGAAUACCAAUGUUUUUAAAAUUGUGCCAUCGUGCAGAUGCUUUCAAGGAUGCUGUCAUGUAUAUAUGUUCUGUGACCAAUGUACUAGCGAAUGUGGUAAGUGAAAUGUGCAAUUGCACCAUCUGUCUAGUAGUUCAACCUUUGCAGAUCAAGUUUCGCUCCACACAUUGUGCACAAAAUGCAUGCAUUUCAAGAAGAGUGCUUGUUUUGUUUUAUGUCACCCAUGCAUUAAUACCUACAGUGUUCCAUUGUUUAAUAUUGAUUCAUAUCAGCUGUGUUUAAACAACAGAGGAUGUUCAUCUUUUUUAUUAUUAUUAUUAUUAUUAUUAUAUGGUAUUUAGAAGAUGUCGCUUUUAAUUGGCACCAGCUACUCCUUUUCAUAUAAGGACUAAAAGAACGAAUAAUUCGUAACAAAAAUAGUUAAAUCAUAACACUAAUUCCGGCAACAUAAGUACACUAAUGUCACACUAUAGCUGAAAGACAACUCCAAAUCGUAAAAACACAAAGUCCAAUCACGUAAGUAGACUAAUGCUUCACUAAAACAAAAGGAUGUGCAUCUUGUUUUGUUCACGUUCGACUUAAGCUACAAUCUAUUAUGCGAAAAUGGAGUGCCUGAAGUAGAGCUUGUGUAUAUUAUGUUUAUUUUUAUCUUGCAUUCUUUAAAUGACUGCAGCAUGUUGAUAUGUUUAUUAAGUAGUACUAAACCUAGAGAAACAACUUAAACAUUUCAUUUUAUGUUGCCAACUGAAUUGAGUAGCAAUUUGAAUACUGCAAGGAGUACUAGAAUUCUUUGUCAUCAUUUUUUGUGCCGUACACUGUGUCUUGUGUGCCAUAACACCACUAGCAUUUUCAGUGUCAAGCACUCUUCAGACACACUCUUAAAAUUGUUUUGCUGGUGAUAGUCUUGCUCUGUGCUGUACCAUGACCUACUUUUUCCUUUCUGCUCUUACUGUACAGGGAUUAUUCGUGUGAUGCACUGUACGCUAUUUUGCUGUUCUAUUCAUUACUGCGCUGCUGGAGAUGGACCAAGAUAAAGUUAAUUUUUUCACUUAGAUGUCAGUGAAACAAUAUGGUCGACCUGAUGACAUUGUUGCAUACUCCAUACAUGCUUUGCACUAUAACCAUUGUGCGGGGUGUUUUUCAUAUAAAUAUGUUCAGUUGGAAUAUUGCCACUUCUGUAAACCAAAUUCUAACAUAAACUUCUGCAACGGAAUACAGCACUGAAACUGUGUGCCACCAUAGCAUGUUGUAAUAUUUACUUCAGUUUACUUGGUCCAGCACUAUUCAUAGCUUGGUUGUGUUUGAGCAUUGCACUUCCUUGCUAUGUUUCAUUCUGGCAAGCUUAAAAUUUGUUUUGUGUACCCAUAUAAGUUUGUUAUGCUAAGGCAUUGUAAGUGAAGAAAUAUGCUUGACAUUCUCUCUCAUUUUUUCGUGUUUAUGUAGAUGCAGUCUUGCUUUGUAAUUGGCGCUAUACUAGUGACCUUCCUCACAUUUCUCGUGCAGGACGACGUGGCCGGCCGGCAACUGUCAAGUAUCGGGCAUCGCUUCAGGGGCGCCUCUACCACUGCCACCAAUGUGAUUAUGCAACCCACAAACCAUCGAACCUUGUAGCACACAAUCGCAUUCACACAGGCGAGCGGCCAUUUCACUGCCACUUAUGCCCCCAGAGCUUCGCACACAAAUGCCAGCUCACGGUACAUGUGCGCCUGCACAAAGGCGAGCGACCGUACCAGUGCCCCAUCUGCCCCUUGGCCUUUCUGCAGGCCAGUCAAAUGAAAUGUCACUUGAGGAGUCGUCACCGUGAUGCUACAUAGUGAGACAGUGUGUGUGUUGUUGGUAGUUGGUGCUCCAUGACUACGAGUGGUACAGUGCGAUUUCGGACACAGCCGGAAGAAAGUACACGCACAAGGACCCUUCGACUGAAAUUCGAUAAUGAUGUAAGUGGGGUUCAUGUACAAAUUGGCACAAGGAAAGCCAAUACCCAAACUCGUGUGAGCCCUUGGUAGUUGCAGUUCAUGUACAGCAAUAGCUGGGGGACGCAGGCGCCUUUUCAAGAUACUUAAGAUACAUUAGCACUUUUAGCAGUGGUGCGUAGAUCUUACAGAAAUCCACCCAAUGUGAUGUGUGUUCCUGGUUUGAAAAGGUAUUGAGAGCUGGGUUUACUGAAUUGCCUGACCAUACAAGACGCCGUGACCAGUUUCACAAAGGUGCCCACGUCUCUCUCUGAAGAUAAGAUUCAGUAUUCCAGAGGAUAUUUAAAUCAUCACCGAUGCUCUACUGUUGUGUUGUGUGGUGAGCUUGUGUUGUUUGGACCCUUGUGUGCUUCCCUGGAGAGGCACCACCCUGCAUCAAGAUUUGCUGACACCACCUCGCCCCAUGGGCUCAUGCCACCAGAUUCUCGAAGAUCUUUCUGCAUCCUACGUGUGAUGGUUUGGCAAUAUCAACGACUCAGAGUUUGAAUUGAAAAUGAAACACAUGUUUUUAUAUUAGCAGACCCAAAGACUUUAGAGCAGCUUAUUCAUUUAUUCACUGUCCAUGGCUAUCGUCAUGUCCCCAAUAAAUACAAUGGCCAUUUCA